rnacentral:rRNA from 1 species
UAGUAAUCGUAGGUCAGCAUACUACGGUGAAUACGUUCCCGGGCCUUGUACACACCGCCCGUCAAACCAUGAGAGUUGGCAACACCCGAAGUCGGUAGUCUAACCGCAAGGAGGACGCCGCCGAAGGUGGGGUUGAUGAUUAGGGGUUAAGUCGUAACAAGGUAGC